UACAGAGGUCCCAAGCGUUGUUCGGAUUCACUGGGCGUAAAGGGUGCGUAGGUGGUUAGGUAAGUCCGAUGUGAAAUCUCCAGGCUCAACCUGGAAAUGGCAUUGGAUACUAUUUAGCUUGAGGAGUGGAGGGGGGACUGGAAUACUUGGUGUAGCAGUGAAAUGCGUAGAUAUCAAGUGGAACACCAGUGGCGAAGGCGAGUCCCUGGACAACUCCUGACACUGAGGCACGAAAGCUAGGGGAGCAAACAGG
rnacentral:rRNA from 1 species